AGUCUGUGUACUGUACAAUGACGGAACUGUAGAAGUAAAAAAAAAGUUCUGUCUCGGGUCUACUGUACUGUGUACUUGUGACUUUAAAAAUAUGCAGUGCAGGGAUACAGCAAGUUCCCAAGUUCUUAGUUAAUGAACAGAGAAAAUUGUUGAGGAGCUCAUUGGGGAAAAAAAAGAAAUUAACAAAGGAAAUGUACUUUUUCAAUAAGGAGAAGAAGUAAAAGCAGCAGGGAAAAUUGACACAGAGUGAUACAUCUUCUAUGAAUAAAAAGAGGAAAUAAGUGUCUGCAGCAGUAAAUCAUUAUAACAACAAGACUGUGAAAAGACGAUAUCAGAACAUGAAAUGAGUUUUAUUUCUUUUAAAAAGAAUUGUUACGGAAUAUACCUCUUGUGAUUCUAAUGAAAACCAUUGUCAACUUGAAGUAAAGGAAGAUUUUAUAAUUUGAUAGAACAGGAAAUAAAGGAAGACUCAUUUAGAGCAUAACAAAGCACAAUGUAUAUUUCUAAUUAGUUUGUUAAUUCAGAAUAACCCUGGUGAAGGAAUUAUAGUUUACAGUAAACAACAUACAAUACACUUACAAUUUCAUGUUUUGCAA